CACUGUGUUGCAUGCUGCUUUGCUUGAAAUAAAUAGCGGACGAGGGCAGCAGUUCGUCUGACAUUCUAAAACUUGGUCCUUCGAGCCGGAUGACAACAUCUUCUCUUCGGUGGAUGAUCGACGACGACUGAAAACGGUGCACCGUCCGAGUCUCCAGGAGACCCGGAAGGUCCUCCUUUCCACGAGGCCAGUCCUCGGACAUCUUCCGCCGGGAGAACACAAACGUCAUCCUACGAAUUGCAUCUCAACCAACGGAGAGAUUGUCACAGACAAAUCACGUCCGCGUGGGAGACCAAGUCUUCCUCAAAGUGUUGAGACGACCUCGCUGGGACAGUGAACGCUGGGACGGCCCCCACCAAGUGAUUGCAGUGACUCCUACGGCUGUAAAGGUCGAGGGGCGUGACGGCUGGAUCCACCAGUCGUAGUGCAAGCUCCUCCGAUUCCCUGCUGAUGGGCCUAGCGACGCCAGUCCCUCGGGGUAGGAUCUCCACCACGUACACCUCAGUGUACCGACGAAAGACCACAGUUGGAGAGAGGGUUUUCCGUGGCAAACACACCCCUCUCGGGAAGAUGGAGCGGACCACCGGACAAAGGCUGACUGCAGUCCUGUCGGCCAAAUAUACUGUUUGAUGUUUCUGGGUUUACCUUGUAUAUACAUAUAUUGGACCAAAAACAGAUUUAAUCCUUGCCCUCACCUUUGUGCUUGGCUCUUGCUUGGGAAGGGUUUCUACCUUUUUCCCACUGGGUUUUUGAGUAGUUUUCUUCCCACUCAAGCAAUAGCUUUUGUUUUAUUUUAAUCAUGAUAAACAGGGGGGAAAUGUGAAAGAAUUUAUAGUUAUCAUGUUUAAAGCAUAUUCACAUGUUGUAGAAAUUCGCCCACGCAGAUUUGUGGACGAGACAAAGAUGCUGUCUGGUUCACACUUUCUCCGCCUGUCUGGUUCACACUUCCUCAAGCAAAUGUGUAACUAUGCUGACUGUUAAAAAACUGUUAAAAUAACAGGAAACGAUCUAAGCAUUUUUCCGGUGCACCUGCACAUCUCGGUAAAGUUCCACUGUGCUGCAUGCUGCUUUGCUUGAAAUAAAUAGCGGACGAGGGCAGCAGUUCGUUGUCAGUCUUGGUGAGCACACUCAGCCAGUGAGUUGCUCUGCUGUCCCUCGCGAGCAGAAAAGACAA